GACGAACGCUGGCGGCGUGCUUAACACAUGCAAGUCGAACGGAUCGCAUGGCUUUGGUUGUGUGGUGAGUGGCGAACGGGUGAGUAACACGUGAGUAACCUGCCCCCUUCUUUGGGAUAACGUCGGGAAAUCGGCGCUAAUACUGGAUAUUCUGGCUGUCCCGCAUGGGGUGGUUGGGAAAGGGUUUUCUGGUGGGGGAUGGGCUCGCGGCCUAUCAGCUUGUUGGUGGGGUGAUGGCCUACCAAGGCGGUGACGGGUAGCCGGCCUGAGAGGGUGUCCGGCCACAGUGGGACUGAGACACGGCCCAGACUCCUACGGGAGGCAGCAGUGGGGAAUAUUGCACAAUGGGCGGAAGCCUGAUGCAGCGACGCCGCGUGGGGGAUGACGGCCUUCGGGUUGUAAACCUCUUUCAGUAGGGAACAAGCCUCUUCUUUGUGGUUGGGGUGAGGGUACUUGCAGAAGAAGCGCCGGCUAACUACGUGCCA
rnacentral:rRNA from 1 species